rnacentral:rRNA from 1 species
CCUACGGGCGGCAGCAGUGAGGAAUAUUGGUCAAUGGACGCAAGUCUGAACCAGCCAUGUCGCGUGCAGGAAGACUGCCCUAUGAGUUGUAAACUGCUUUUGUACGAGGAUAAACGCAGACACGUGUAUCUUUCUGAAAGUACUUUAUGAAUAAGGAUCGGCUAACUCCGUGCCAGCAGCCGCGGUAAUACGGAGGAUUCAAGCGUUAUCCGGAUUUAUUGGGUUUAAAGGGUGCGUAGGCGGUCGGAUAAGUUAGAGGUGAAAUCCCGAGGCUCAACUGCGUAAUUGCCCCUGAUACUGUUCGGCUGGAGAGCAGAUGCGGUAGGAGGAAUGUGUGGUGUAGCGGUGAAAUGCUUAGAGAUCAUACAGAACACCGAUUGCGAAGGCAGCUUACGAAGCUGCUUCUGACGUUGAGGCACGAAAGCGUGGGUAGCAAACAGGAUUAGAUACCCUAGUAGUC